UACGGAGGGUGCAAGCGUUAUCCGGAUUCACUGGGUUUAAAGGGUGCGUAGGCGGACAUGUAAGUCCGUGGUGAAAUCUCCGAGCUUAACUCGGAAACUGCCAUGGAUACUAUAUGUCUUGAAUGUUGUGGAGGUUAGCGGAAUAUGUCAUGUAGCGGUGAAAUGCAUAGAUAUGACAUAGGACACCAAUUGCGAAGGCAGCUGGCUACACAAAUAUUGACGCUGAGGCACGAAAGCGUGGGGAUCAAACAGG
rnacentral:rRNA from 1 species